rfam:Mesocricetus auratus contig202110, whole genome shotgun sequence.
UUACCACUCAGGCUCUGGCUAUACUCCAGGACUCAGCUGAUCCUGGGUAUAACCUGAGCCUGACUGUACA